UGGCGAAAAAAAAAAAAAGCCCAAAAUCUGUUUCCUGCUUAUUCCCCCCGUCCUCCCCAACCAAAAAUCCCCAAAUCUCAAAUCCCUAAUUUUUUAAUCAAAAAUCCCCAUCUCUCUCUUUCGCGACUGUGAGCACGACAAACGAUGGAGUCGAGCGACGGGGUUAAGGAGCCUCACUCUUUUGUUUCUCACUACGUUGGCUUUCCCUUUGUUGCUCUCAUUCCAGUGGCGAAGGAGCUACUCAGGGACCACCGCAGCGAUUAAUAGCAGGCUCGAAGCUUUCAGCUUCAAGAACAUCGAUCCGCUUAGAUUCGCAUGAUUGAAGAGACUCUCCGAUUCGCUGGUGUUCCUGGACAUUCUUAUAUUUUGCAAUUGUUUUGUUGAAUCCACGAUGGAAUGCGAAGGUGAUUACAUCUGUGGCGGGUGGAUUUUUUACCAAGGCCAGUUACAAUUGUACUGAGGAAAUUUUGAGCUUUGCUAAGUUGUUCAACGAUGAACUCACACCGGAUAAUAUUAGCAGGCACAUGUACUGUUGAAGCAAAAGAACCUUGAGAAAGAAGAAGCUGUCCUCAUUAUGAAUGGUCAAAUUCGCGAAGAAAGGCAAGAAAAAACCAGGGAACUUUUGGAAGGGUCACAAGGAGUAAGCGACUCAAGGAUGUGACAGAUGUUGCCAGAUUUUGAGGAUGCUAACCAACUAGUUGGUGAUCGCUUGCAUGGGAUGUCGAAUGGUGUUAUGUCCCUUGCAUCUUUAUUUAGAGAAUCCAUGGUGAAAUUCUAUUUGUCUUUGAAAUCUCAAAGCCAAGUUCCACUAGUUGUAGUGAUUACCCUUGUUAUGAUUCUUCUGUUGAUGCAGCUAAGCAUAGUCAUGCUCCUAAGUAGACCUCAAGAAGUCCAAUUGAUUCCUCAACCCGAUUACAUGAGUACCAUGUGCAGUUUAAGCGAACGAAUGCCUGAAACGAUGGCUUGGAUGGAGAAGCGGAUUGACCAUCUCAAGGACGAAAUGCAUGUGAUCGAGACCUUGCUUAAAUUUCCUGAGUAGCAGUUUACUUCUUGUGGAAUGCGGGCGUGUAAAGAUUAUGACCAACUUUUAUUUUUGUAACCCACAGAAGAAUAAUGAUGAAAACUUUUCAUUUUGAUUUACGUUAUUUAGAUUUAUGAACAACAUUAUGUAUGUUUUAUGCGACAUUAUAUAGUGGGAUAAUUUUUAUUGUUAUGAAUUUUUAUUUAUGUAUUGUUAUGAAUUGAACAACAUUAUGAAUUUUCAUUAUCUGCCAA